rnacentral:rRNA from 1 species
UGACAGUACUCCUACGGGGAGGCAGCAGUGGGGGAAUAUUGCACAAUGGGCGCAAGCCUGAUGCAGCCAUGCCGCGUGUAUGAAGAAGGACCUUCGGGUUGUUAAAGGUACUUUCAGCAGUGAGGAAGGUGGUAGUGUUAAUAGCACUAUCAUUUGACGUUAGCUGCAGAAGAAGCACCGGCUAACUCCGUGCCAGCAGCCGCGGUAAUACGGAGGGUGCGAGCGUUAAUCGGAAUUACUGGGCGUAAAGCGCAUGCAGGUGGUUUGUUAAGUCAGAUGUGAAAGACCCGGGGCUCAACCUCGGAAUUGCAUUUGAAACUGGCAGACUAGAGUACUGUAGAGGGGGGUAGGAAUUUCAGGUGUAGCGGUGAAAUGCGUAGAGAUCUGAAGGAAUACCGGUGGCGAAGGCGGCCCCCUCGGACAGAUACUGACACUCAGAUGCGAAAGCGUGGGGAGCAAACAGGAUUAGAUACCCUGGUAG